AAUAAGGCGGAAACCACGAAACUAUUCUUAUAAGCGUGUAAUUUUAUACGUUUUCACUCGUCCAUUAUAGCGGAACGGUGAAAGCCCAAUUAUUUACUGAACUGAAAUAAAACGCUUGGAACUUCGCUGCAACUAUUUAUUGUCCAGUUUCAUGAGUAAAACGGACUCUAAAGUGAAAUGAACUCUACCGCGUACUUUUUUAAGAGUGAAAUGCUCAGACUCCAUACACUUUGUCCAUGUCUGUUGCACACCUCAUCGCUUCCGCCGAUGAAAA
rnacentral:lncRNA from 1 species